CUGACACGAAGCUCAGCAGGACAAGGACAGUCUAGGCUGAGGACACAGUAGGAGGAAAAUCCACGGUGAAAAAUGUGAGCCUCGAAACACACAGCUGAGUACUGUGAGCCAAGAAGGAAAUAAGAAGGCACCUUCCAGGAAGCACCAUGACUGCUGAAGAGGAAGACCCAAUUGGCCUCCUUCUCUGAAUCUAGAGCUGACUCUGGGCUUCCAAGGACGGGGCUAGCAGCUGGGACAGAGGUCACCCUCAGGUUUGACAUACGGCUUAUUCUUUGCUGAGUUACUAUACCAUGACAACGUCCUACAGACAUUUCUGAAUGGCCUCUGGUACAGCCAGGCCCAGAACCCGUCCUGUCUAAAUGUGUCCUCCUGGACUACACUCCUAUCCAACACAUCUAAGCUGGACCAACUCCAAAGCUUUUGAAAGACUCUGGAGAUAACCAGGUAGGACUGCCCCUAGGCAAAUGAACCCGUGAAGCGGUCCUCUUGGAAAUGAGGUGCAGGGCUCUCCCUUGAGUCUUUGCCGUUUCGAUGACAUGAUGGCAUUGAAUGGCAAACCAUGCUAGCUUGGGAUGGAAGCAGGGCUGGGCACUGCCAGCAUGGUAAACCGUCUGAUCUCUCUUACUACGGCCCAUCUCCUGAGGUGGAGCCGACCAAAUCUCCUGGGGCUACUAGAACCAGAUGCCUCUCAACAGGUUUUGCCAUUGAUCU